CCCUUAGAUGUCCUGGGCCGCACGCGCGCUACACUGACAUGUUCAACAAGCCUCCUAGUUCGACAGGAUUUGGGAAAUCUUUGAACGCAUGUCGUGAUAGGGAUAGAUCAUUGCAAUUAUUGAUCUUGAACGAGGAAUUCCUAGUAAACGCGAGUCAUCAGCUCGCAUUGAUUACGUCCCUGCCCUUUGUACACACCGCCCGUCGCACCUACCGAUUGGAUGUUUCGGUGAAGAUUCCGGAUAGGACUUUUUUGAUUUAUUUCAAUUUUGUCUUAAAAGCUAUCUAAACCUCAACAUUUAGAGGAAGGUGAAGUCGUAACA
rnacentral:rRNA from 1 species